rnacentral:pre_miRNA from 1 species
AAAGUAUUACCUCGGUACCAAAUUACUUGUCUUAGAUUUGUCUAGAUACAGAUGUAUCUAGACACGUUUUAGUUCUAGAUGCAUUGUAUGCAUGAAAUUCUAAGACAAAUAAUUUGAGACGGAAGGAGAACAUA